AGGCAAUAAUGAUGACAAAUAAGACUUCUGUAUGUAAUUUCUGUAGACAACAGUCCCUCUAAGCUGACAUUGCCU